GAUGAACGCUGGCGGCGUGCCUAAUACAUGCAAGUCGAGCGAACGGACGAGAAGCUUGCUUCUCUGAUGUUAGCGGCGGACGGGUGAGUAACACGUGGAUAACCUACCUAUAAGACUGGGAUAACUUCGGGAAACCGUAGCUAAUACCGGAUAAUAUUUUGAACCGCAUGGUUCAAAAGUGAAAGACGGUCUUGCUGUCACUUAUAGAUGGAUCCGCGCUGCAUUAGCUAGUUGGUAAGGUAACGGCUUACCAAGGCAACGAUGCAUAGCCGACCUGAGAGGGUGAUCGACCACACUGGAACUGGGACACGGUCCAGACUCCUACGGGAGGCAGCAGUAGGGAAUCUUCCGCAAUGGGCGAAAGCCUGACGGAGCAACGCCGCGUGAGUGAUGAAGGUCUUCGGAUCGUAAAACUCUGUUAUUAGGGAAGAACAUAUGUGUAAGUAACUGUGCACAUCUUGACGGUACCUAAUCAGAAAGCCACGGCUAACUACGUG
rnacentral:rRNA from 1 species